CGUGGGGGAUAGUCCUCCGAAAGGGGGUUGAAUACCGCAUAUGCUCGGUGCUGUCGUGGCAUCGAGGAAAGGUGGCCUCUGCGAGCAAGCUGGUGGCCUGAGACAGGGAUGCGUCCUAUUAGCUAGCUGGUGGGGUAAUGGCCUACCAGGGCAACGAUGGGUAGCUGGUCUGAGAGGAUGAUCAGCCACACUGGGACUGCGACACGGCCCAG
rnacentral:rRNA from 1 species